rnacentral:rRNA from 1 species
AACGCUAGCUACAGGCUUAACACAUGCAAGUCGAGGGGCAGCAUGGUCUUAGCUUGCUAAGGCCGAUGGCGACCGGCGCACGGGUGAGUAACACGUAUCCAACCUACCGUCUACUCUUGGACAGCCUUCUGAAAGGAAGAUUAAUACAAGAUGGCAUCAUGAGUCCGCAUGUUCACAUGAUUAAAGGUAUUCCGGUAGACGAUGGGGAUGCGUUCCAUUAGAUAGUAGGCGGGGUAACGGCCCACCUAGUCUUCGAUGGAUAGGGGUUCUGAGAGGAAGGUCCCCCACAUUGGAACUGAGACACGGUCCAAACUCCUACGGGAGGCAGCAGUGAGGAAUAUUGGUCAAUGGGCGAGAGCCUGAACCAGCCAAGUAGCGUGAAGGAUGACUGCCCUAUGGGUUGUAAACUUCUUUUAUAAAGGAAUAAAGUCGGGUAUGGAUACCCGUUUGCAUGUACUUUAUGAAUAAGGAUCGGCUAACUCCGUGCCAGCAGCCGCGGUAAUACGGAGGAUCCGAGCGUUAUCCGGAUUUAUUGGGUUUAAAGGGAGCGUAGAUGGAUGUUUAAGUCAGUUGUGAAAGUUUGCGGCUCAACCGUAAAAUUGCAGUUGAUACUGGAUAUCUUGAGUGCAGUUGAGGCAGGCGGAAUUCGUGGUGUAGCGGUGAAAUGCUUAGAUAUCACGAAGAACUCCGAUUGCGAAGGCAGCCUGCUAAGCUGCAACUGACAUUGAGGCUCGAAAGUGUGGGUAUCAAACAGGAUUAGAUACCCUGGUAGUCCACACGGUAAACGAUGAAUACUCGCUGUUUGCGAUAUACGGCAAGCGGCCAAGCGAAAGCGUUAAGUAUUCCACCUGGGGAGUACGCCGGCAACGGUGAAACUCAAAGGAAUUGACGGGGGCCCGCACAAGCGGAGGAACAUGUGGUUUAAUUCGAUGAUACGCGAGGAACCUUACCCGGGCUUAAAUUGCAGAUGAAUUACGGUGAAAGCCGUAAGCCGCAAGGCAUCUGUGAAGGUGCUGCAUGGUUGUCGUCAGCUCGUGCCGUGAGGUGUCGGCUUAAGUGCCAUAACGAGCGCAACCCUUGUUGUCAGUUACUAACAGGUUCCGCUGAGGACUCUGACAAGACUGCCAUCGUAAGAUGUGAGGAAGGUGGGGAUGACGUCAAAUCAGCACGGCCCUUACGUCCGGGGCUACACACGUGUUACAAUGGGGGGUACAGAGGGCCGCUACCACGCGAGUGGAUGCCAAUCCCCAAAACCUCUCUCAGUUCGGACUGGAGUCUGCAACCCGACUCCACGAAGCUGGAUUCGCUAGUAAUCGCGCAUCAGCCACGGCGCGGUGAAUACGUUCCCGGGCCUUGUACACACCGCCCGUCAAGCCAUGGGAGCCGGGGGUACCUGAAGUGCGUAACCGCGAGGAGCGCCCUAGGGUAAAACUGGUGACUGGGGC